UUGGUCUGGCUUUCUCCAGUUUGCUCUAGAGAAGAGAUGGGAAAAGACUGCUUUGAAAACCACAGGCACCUCUUCCAAAAACUAUUCAGUGAGAGACUAUCACAGCUGAAAUCUGCAGUGUCACUCCAAUGCCAGGCCAGGUAAUGCCAUGACUAAAUGGAAGCUUCUCUUAGAGGAAAAAAGAAUCUGGAGGAUAUGACGAUAGGAUUUCCUGCAGAUGCUGCACUUCUGCUGCCUGGGUAUCCAUUACAGACAACAGCUUUGCCCACACAAGGCUGGGACCACAAGAUUAAUUCACUUGAUACGUCUUAUCCGAAAUUCUCAUUAUCAUUUUCCCAAGAUCUGCCUCAAUGAAAUAAAGCUUCAGCCUUCA